GCCAGGAUACUCAAGUGGUCAACGAGGGCAGUCUGUAAAACUGCUGGCUUAGCCUACGUAGGUUCGAAUCCUGCUCCUGGCACCA
rnacentral:tRNA from 1 species